GCAUAUUUCAAAAUUGUUUUCAAAUUUUAUUUUUAUCCAUAAAACUACAUAAUAUACAUGACUCGUGUCUACAUCGUCUGCAUAUCAUCAUUAUUAUUGUAAUAAUAAUAAUAAUGAUAUCAUACAUUUGGGUUCAGUAAUAUUUAUGAUAAUAAUAAUAAUAAUAAUAAUAUAAUGUUUUACAUGUAACAGUAAUAGUAAUUUUUUACAGGCACGCAUUAAGAUAUAAAUACAAAACAUAGCAUCGGUGAUCGUUAGUAUUUUUUCUUUUCUUUUUUUUUUUUUUUUUUUUUUUUUUAAAAAUACAAUAUUACAAUACCUAAUGUUAUUAUUAAAAUUCAACUUGUCGAAUUUGUUUGCAGGUACUAAAAAAUAAAAAUAAAAACACCCACUAAUCGUCGGGUAUAAAUUCAGUUCAGUUCUGAUGUGUUCUACUAUACAUAUUACAUUAAACAUAUCAUAAUACGAGUAUAUAUAUAUAUAUAUAUAUAUAUAAUAAUCAUAUUGUACAUUUAUAAAAUACUUAAAAAUAAAUAGUUUCGAUUAAUAUUUGGGUAUUAUUAUUAUUAUUAUUAUUGAAUUCAUAUUGUCACAGCGAAAAAAACAAAAAAACCAUUUUAAAAUUACAGAUAAGGCCUAUACAACAAUAAUAAUAUAAGUUUAUACAAAAAACGAAUAUUAUCAUAUUCGACGCGGUCAAUCGCAUAAAAUAUCGGAUAAAAAGCACUACGAUGAUAAUGGAUAAUAAUAAUGUUUAUGGCACACUUUUGUUGAAUCAUUUUUCGUACGAUUAUUAUAACUGUUAUGAUACAAUAUAAUUAUUUUUACACGACGAUAAUAAUAAUAAUAAUAAUAAUAAAAAAAUUUCUCCCGGAUUGUCUAAAAAAUAAUAAUUAUAAGUCGACUACGAGAACUAUACGCACGACGUUUCCGGGUGAAAACGUUUCGUGAUUUUGAUCGCGUGGAUUUAAAAUUAUUUUGAUUUUUCGACGUAUUCUAUGAGUACUGUGUGUAUUUUUUUUAAGGUGUUUUAAACACGAAACGUAAAAUAAACUAAUUUUAAAUAUAAUAAUAAUAAUAAUAAUAAUAAUAUAUAGAAUCUAUCACAACAACAUUGAUAAAAAAAAAAAAAAACAAAAGGAACUAUUAUAUCGUAAAAUUAAUACCGAAUACAGUAUGAUACAAAUAAAUAACAAUAUUAAUAUUUAAUGUAUUUACAAGGAAAUUUACAAAAAAAAAAAAAAAAAAAUCGAACAAAAAAAA